GGAGAAUCGAGAGGAGAGAAUGAGAGCGAGGAGGUGCAAGUUAAUAAGGAUUGGGAGCCAAUUCAAGCGUUGAAAACGAGAUUAAGGGAGUUCGAGAAGCGGAGUUCAUCGGCCGAGAUGUUUGAGGGCUUUAAGAACGGGGACUUCGUCGAGAAAGUGAAGUCGAGCUUGAGAUCAAUUUGCAAGGACCCUGAAGACUCAAAGGAGGUGCCGCCACUGGAUGUACCAGAGCUUUUAGCAUCUUUAGUUAGGCAAUCUGGAUCUUUCCUUGAUCAAAUUGGCAUUAGAAAAGAUGUUUGUGAUAAAAUAG
rnacentral:misc_RNA from 1 species